GUCCCUCCUUACCAUAGUGAUAGCAAGUACCUUUGGCGGAGACCUUCUUCAUCUUCUUAUUGAAGAUGCCAGCCUUAGAGUUCAUUUUUUUUUAAAUCUUUCUUUUCUUUUUUCUUAUUGAUCUUAUCGACAAAAAGAAUUUGAGCUUUUUCACCUUUGAAAGGACUCUCUACUAUUUUCAGCAUGUUCAGCAGCUCAGGCAGGCUAAUAUUCAGUUCAUUCAUAUGCUAGUUUAUGACAAAUUGAGAGAA
rnacentral:lncRNA from 1 species